rnacentral:rRNA from 1 species
UCGCUAGUAAUCGCGGAUCAGCAUGCCGCGGUGAAUACGUUCCCGGGCCUUGUACACACCGCCCGUCACACCAUGAGAGUCGGGAACACCCGAAGUCCGUAGCCUAACCGCAAGGGGGCGCGGCCGAAGGUGGGUUCGAUAAUUGGGGUGAAGUCGUAACAAGGUAUC